rnacentral:rRNA from 1 species
CUUAGCAGGGGAUAACAUUUGGAAACAAGUGCUAAUACCGUAUAAUACCAACAACCGCAUGGUUGUUGAUUGAAAGAUGGUUCUGCUAUCACUAAGAGAUGGACCCGCGGUGCAUUAGCUAGUUGGUAAGGUAACGGCUUACCAAGGCGAUGAUGCAUAGCCGAGUGGAGAGACUGAUCGGCCACAAUGGGACUGAGACACGGCCCAUACUCCUACGGGAGGCAGCAGUAGGGAAUCUUCCACAAUGGGCGCAAGCCUGAUGGAGCAACGCCGCGUGUGUGAUGAAGGGUUUCGGCUCGUAAAACACUGUUAUAAGAGAAGAACGGCACUGAGAGUAACUGUUCAGUGUGUGACGGUAUCUUACCAGAAAGGAACGGCUAAAUACGUGCCAGCAGCCGCGGUAAUACGUAUGUUCCAAGCGUUAUCCGGAUUUAUUGGGCGUAAAGCGAGCGCAGACGGUUAUUUAAGUCUGAAGUGAAAGCCCUCAGCUCAACUGAGGAAUGGCUUUGGAAACUGGAUGACUUGAGUGCAGUAGAGGAAAGUGGAACUCCAUGUGUAGCGGUGAAAUGCGUAGAUAUAUGGAAGAACACCAGUGGCGAAGGCGGCUUUCUGGACUGUAACUGACGUUGAU